rnacentral:lncRNA from 1 species
AAGCAAGAAAGGACAGAUUAGCAUUCAAGUAAUGAGUGAUGUUGUAUGUAUUGUCAGAACUGUAAGUUUGGAUCAUGCAAUUAACAUGAUCGGUGAUCCAUAUUCUUAGUCCAACACCAUAAGCAUUUUCUAUUUCCAGAGUAAGAGAACACUGAUUUCCCGUUAGUCAAGUUAUACGAGUACUGUGUCUCAUUUUAAAUACGGGACCCUUCAUAAUUUUGUUCUCUUAAUUUUGUUUUGAUCUGUUCAAUUUAAUGGCAAGAAAAAUAAAAAAUAAAAUGUUAGAAAUUAUAUAUUAUAAUAUGAAAUAUUGUAAUAUAUAAUUUUAAUAAUUGAAUGAAAAAUAGUGUUAACCAAUUUCUUAGAAAGGUUAUGUUGUUUAGGUGUAUUCCCUUGAUAAGUGAUGUAUACUUAUAGAUGAAAAGUUACAUCUCUUUAAUAAGUAGAAAUUGGAUUCUAUAUAAACCCAUAAAACCAUUGGUAUAAUAUAUAGAAAAUUAGAGUUAAUUUUUACUCUUGAGGAAUAGGGUUUCCCCACUUUGUUUCUCAAAUGAUUCGUGUGUCAAAUUCCGAGUCGUGUCUUGAGAGUACGGAAUAUAUAAAGUUUGCCAAAGUCCGAAGAUUGAAGUGCUUUAACUACGGAUUAUAGAUUGUUGAAUCCUGGGAGAUAGACGCCUAUCGAACUACAAGCACAAGAGUAGAGGCGAAAUUCUAUCUUUAGGACAUUGCAUUUAUGCAAGCCUCAAUCUCCAAGUUUGUCAGUUUUUCUAACUUUAUCUCUAAUUGUUUAUAUUAAUCUCAUACAUAAUUGAUGUUGUGAUUUUCUUUAUGAAUACUUUCAUUGAAUUUUUUUUUAUUAUUUUCAUAUUUUCUAAUAUUGCUCCAACAAUCUAAAGAUAGAAUUUUUAUUUGGAAUAAUUAGAAAAUAUGAUGUGUUUGUAAGAUGCAUAUGCAGUUUACGGGAAAAGCAAAGGGGAAGGUAAGUAUUAGCCUUUUCUUGAUUCGUGCCUUUUGCAUAGUAUGAUUUUAAAUAUUGGCAGUUAUUAUGGCAAUAAGUCAAUGCAUUCUGGUAAAGAAAGACUGAGAGACACAAAUGAAUGGUGUCUGUUUAAUACUUGUGUUUCAUAUACAAUCAUGUUUGUAACUCUGAUUUGUGGUUUUGCGAUUAUAUGUUUUGACAUGGUUGUUCAUACUCUUUGAAUAAAUAAAACUAAACAUAAAUAUGCUUUAUUUGGUAGUUCAUACUGCAGAUUAAUAUCCAUACCUGGGAUAAGUUCCUCUUUAAGGAAGGAACUUCAUUUGAAUUUGAGGCAUUUGAUUGAUAUAUAUGCGGCUAAGAACUUGUGCCAAACUGAUCAGAAAUGGCAUAUCAGUUUUAUAUUUGGUGGAUUUGGAGAUUGCCAAACAGUUCGGCUAUUCAGGGGCUUUAACUCAUCAUAGACUUAUGUCUGUUGGUGGAAACAUACCAGUAUGUUUAAAUAAAACUAUAGAAUCUUUAUAGUUUGGGUUCGUGAUGAUAAGGCCAAGGGGAGGACUUAUAUCAUGCUAUCAUUUAAUGACAUAUAUAUGUUAUAUCGUAUCUGUAUAUUCGAAGAACAAUGUGGAGCAUCAUGAGCAGUUUGUAAGUCAAUACUCAAUCAUGUCUUUGGUUUGAAGGAUCUGAUGCACUUGGAUCCUUGCAUGAAUGUAUUUCUCUGAAAUACAUGGCUGCUUCAAUCGUUGUGUUUAAUUCAUUUAUUACUUGAAUUAUAUAUGCCACCCUGUGUGGGGUGGGUUGUGACAAGGAUAAGGCAAGUUAUUUGUCUUCGACAUGCAAAAAGAUUACAGGAAGGAACUGAUAAGUAUGUUUGUGGGCACUACAUGUAUUUAUAAGUAUGCAUGCAUGUUUCUUUCCUGGGUUUGCCUUUAGGCGCUCAUUUGAUUGGAUUUGCCUACGGAUUUGGUGUUUAAUUUUUACGGAACACAAUUUCAUGAAAAGGCAUUUCGUGCUUUUAACCAACACAAUCAGUUAUGAUUGGUGAGGUUUGGUAGUGAACCGAGGAACAUAUAUGGGUCUCCAUUUGAAUGGAUGUAUCCAUUGCGAAGCAAUAUUCUACUUUCGCUAACAAGAUAAACAUGAACAUUUCAUACACAUAAAUACUUGAAUUUGUGCAAGAAUAUUUGAGAAGCAUAUAAUGCUUGCAUUUGUCCAGGCUGUUGGUCAUGAGAAAAAUACAACACUAGUAAAAUCUAAUGGACAUGAGGGCCUGGAGGUUUUUAGUGUAUUUCCUCUUCAACCAAAUUGUGUGUGUUUGGGGUUAAAAACCAAACGGAAUGGAACCUAACCCACUCCUAUCAUUAAAUGAUAGGCACUAGAAUGUGGUAUACAAGUUAGACACAUACAUGUUUGCAAAAUUUGGAAGAUUAAGUCUUCAAGCAUGUCCUUAUUUGAGAUACUUGAAGAUUAAGUCUUCAAAUUAUCUUGCAAAAUAAGAGACAUUGUCUAACUACAUGAAGGUUGCAACUAGUCAGAGUUGCAAGUUCAUAGAAAGUGUACAUACACUUGCAUACCGGCCAAAAGAAGUGCGUUCAAAUUUGUCAAUGAAUGAGUUUGUUAUAUCAUGGAUGGACAUGGCAAGAAAGAUUUUGUGAUAAGAAAAAGAAUAAUCAGACCGUUGAGCUUGAACUCAUUAUGGAUGAAUUGCUUUCAUCUUAGAAAAAUGACGGUUGAAUUGAUAAGCAGAGGAGACUAAGGUCUAAAGAGGUGCUUAUCUUAAAAGACUAGUGAGGCUUUAAGGCCUAAGAAGUUAGAAUAGUUUCAUAUGUUUCUACUAAUCUCAUGCAUUUCCGCAAUCACAAUUGUGAGAAAAUUGUGGGGGUAACUUAAAAUAUCAUUAAGAUAUAAUGAUAUUUACUUAACAAGAAGUAUUUGCUACCUAAACGUGAUAAUAUGUAAUUUUAAGGUAUGAAAAGCUUUAGAGAUCUUUCUUUAAAUACCUUAAAUGUGGGGGAACAUGCCCAAGUGUCAGCAAAUUACUUAUUAGUAAGUCUGAACAUAUGUUUUGAGGACUUAAUAUUGGAAAACAACUACUCUCGUAUGAAAUAUAAUUUCAUAAGAUGGAUUGUGCACAUCAUUAAAGAUAUAGUCAACCUAGUAGUGGAUCCAAUUAUUAAAGGUUUGACUAAAGAGUAAGUUGAUCAUCGAGGGGAAUGAGGCUAAAGCCAACAUAACUAAUGAAUCAGCCGAGCGAAAACCUAACUUAGUUGAUUGGAGAUCCCAUGGUCUAAGUUCAAUAGGCAAACUGGUUGGGCAUGAUUCAAAGAAGUUAACACACUAUAUACCUCAUUCCUAUGAUGGAAGAAAUGUGUUGUCUGCAGAAGUUUUAGGGUGUAUAUUUAUACUUAAUGACAGUGAUAUCUUAUAAAUUAGAGGAAUAGAGCAGACUAUUCUUAAUCAGUGGUCACCUAUGUGAGAGUAGAAAUGGGUCGCUUCUAUGAGAAUGAAAUGGCUAAAUUCUCUAAAGCUCUCAUGAAUCCGGGAUUUGUUCAGGACCAAAAUGAACACAACCGUAUGAACCGUAAUAUAUUAGGAUUAGUGAUGUGUGUUGCUUAUUGUCUCAGUUUACUGCUGCGGUGAAUAGUUCAAGAUUUUCUACAUCCACUGCGUCACCAAGUAAACCCGAUAAGUAUUCACUAGGGUAGGUUUAAGUCCAAAAGACACAUUUCCCGAUGCAUCUCUUGUCCGCAUGUACUCUCAAAUUCUUCUUAAUUUUUCAUUCAUGUGGGGGAUUGUUAGAAAUUAUAUAUUAUAAUAUGAAAUAUUGUAAUAUAUAAUUUUAAUAAUUGAAGAAAAAAUAGUGUUAACCAAUUUCUUAGAAAGGUUAUGUUGUUUAGGUGUAUUCCCUUGAUAAGUGAUGUAUACUUAUAGAUGAAAAGUUACAUCUCUUUAAUAAGUAGAAAUUAGAUUCUAUAUAAACCCAUGAAACCAUUGGUAUAAUAUAUAGAAAAUUAGAGUUAAUUUUUACUCUUGAGAAAUAGGGUUUCCCCACUUUGUUUCUCAAAUGAUUCGUGUCAAAUUCCGAGUCGUGUCUUGAGAGUACGGAAUAUAUAAAGUUCGCCAGAGUCCGAAGAUUGAAGUGCUUUGACUUCGGAUUAUAGAUUGUUGAAUCCUGGGAGAUAGACGCCUAUCGAACUACAAGCACAAGAGUAGGGGCGGAAUUCUUUCUUUAGGACAUUGCAUUUAUGCAAGCCUCAAUCUCCAAGUUUGUCAGUUUUUCUAACUUUAUCUCUAAUUGUUUAUAUUAAUCUCAUACAUAAUUGAUGUUGUGAUUUUCUUUAUGAAUACUUUCAUUGAAAUUCUUUUAUUAUUUUCAUAUUUUUAAUAUUGCUCCAAAAUAAAAAACUGCAUAUGAAUGAAGUGAAAAAAUGGUGUGCCUAAAUAAUUUCCCUUUAAGAAAUGCUCCUCAUCUUGAGGGAUUAUUUUCAACUGAUAGCAGCAUGAUACACAUUGAAAUUAUCUGAUUAUAUUUAAUUAGUAUGGUUAUGAUAUUUUUUUUAUGAUAGACUGUGGAUGCGGUCCCUAACUAUGAAUAUUCUUUGAGUGAAACCUUGUUGGUUUUCAAUUUUUGAUCGAAGUCCCUGAAAUUAAUGUGAUAAUUUAUUUCUAUGUAUGUUACUAUAUUUUUAAAAUAAAAAAUUGAAAUUUAUAGUUAUUUAUAUUAAUGAGAUUUUAAAUAAAAAACCAUAAUUUGUGGGAUUAAAAAUAUUAAAAUAUAAAUAUACUAGUGUGUGUGUGUGUGUGUGUGUGUGUGUGUGUGUGUGUGUGUGUGUGUGUAUAAACAUGGGUAUAUUCAUCAAAAUUAACCAAAAUAUUAUUGUACCAAAACAUGGGUACAUUCUUCAAA